GACGAACGCUGGCGGCGUGCUUAACACAUGCAAGUCGAACGGAAAGGCCUGCUUUCCCUUGUGGAUUGCGGGUACUCGAGUGGCGAACGGGUGAGUAACACGUGAGUGAUCUGCCCCCAACUUGGGUAUAAGCCUGGGAAACUGGGUCUAAUUCCCGAUAGGACUGCAGGGUGGUGCCUGUGGUGGAAAAGGAUGUUCUAGUGGUUGGGGAUGAGCUCGCGGCCUUUCAGCUUGUUGGUGGGGUAAUGGCCUACCAAGGCGGCGACGGGGAGCCGGCCUGGGAGGGUGGACGGCCACAUUGGAACUGCGAUACGGGCACGACUACUACGGGAGGCAGCAGUGGGGAAUAAUGCACAAGGGGCGGAAGACUGAGGCCGGGACGCCGAGUGGGCGAUGACGGCCUUCGGGUUGUAGCCUCCUUUCGACCGCGAGGAAGCCACCUGGUUGGAAGGGUGGUGACGGUAGUGGUAGAAGAAGCACCGGCUAACUACGUG
rnacentral:rRNA from 1 species